rnacentral:lncRNA from 1 species
GCUAAGAGAAUUAUGGAGCUGUGUCCUGAACUGGUUGCAGCACAGGAUGGAAAAGGCGACACUCCAUUUCAUUUAGCCUGUCGCCAUUGCAAUCCUGAAAUGUUAAAGCUUUUGCUUGGUGUCAAUGUCAAAGCCGCACAUAAUAAGAUUAAUAAAAAGAACCAGACUCCACUUUUCUUGGCUUGUCGCCAUGGGCAUCUUGAGCUGGUGGAACUCCUUUUGCAGCGGCCUCAGUUGAUUCAAGUUGAUGGUUUUGAUCAGACUUGUCUUCAUGUUGCAGUUUUGCUGAAAUAUACAGGUUCAAGAAUUUGUACAAUCAAUUUUACUUUAUAGGAAUUAAUUAGUGGGAAAAAGAAGUUGUGAUCACCAUGAAAAUUUUCUCUUAUUUUACCUUAUUUCAUUCACUAGCUCUGCUACUAACUUGUAUAUAUUAUUAAUUACAACUGUUGUUAUGCAGAUAUUGUGGACAUCCUGUUGAAAAAGGUCCCAAAGUUAGCCCAAAAGAUUGACAAAAAUGAAAAUUCACCACUACAUUGUGCUUGUAUCAAAGGAAACUUACGUAUGGUGCAGCUAUUAAUUGGAAAGAGCAGCAGACAAACACACAGGUUGUAUAAUAAAGAUGGCUACACAGCAUUGCACUUGGCAGUGAUGAGGGGGGAUGUUCUAUUUCUUGAA